UACGAAGGGGGCUAGCGUUGCUCGGAAUCACUGGGCGUAAAGCGCACGUAGGCGGCGAUUUAAGUCAGAGGUGAAAGCCCGGGGCUCAACCCCGGAAUAGCCUUUGAGACUGGAUUGCUAGAAUCUUGGAGAGGCGGGUGGAAUUCCGAGUGUAGAGGUGAAAUUCGUAGAUAUUCGGAAGAACACCAGUGGCGAAGGCGGCCCGCUGGACAAGUAUUGACGCUGAGGUGCGAAAGCGUGGGGAGCAAACAGG
rnacentral:rRNA from 1 species